rnacentral:lncRNA from 1 species
GUGGGCAGCUGGUACUUUGGACUGGAAUGUUCUUUUGAUUCCAGUGAGUACUUGACCUUGAAUGUUGGGCACCAACAGGAGAGAGAACAAGGAGCCCUGACUUGUCCUUCAGAGGUUGAGGACAAGGCUUCCCAAGGAAAGGAAUUUAAAGAGAAGAAACCUCAAGGAAUGCAGCAAAGUGACCUCUUCAAAGCGGAAUAUGUCUUUAUCGUGGACUCUGAGGGGGAGGAGGAAGUCCCGGGCAGAAAAGGUGACCAGGGACCCCCGGUGGGGACAGGCCCCCCGGCUGCUCGGCCCUCGUCUCUCGCCAUUUCCUCCAGUCUGGCCUCCGAUGCGGUGCGCCCCAAAACGCGAGCGGCAGGCCUCCAGGCCCCGUCGCAUCCUGAACGGCCUCAGGCCAUGGCUCCCCCGCAAAGACACGGGCAGAUGCCUACAACUCUUCCAAGAGCAGCUGGUCGAGAAACCAAAUAUGCAAACCUCUCCUCACCAUCUUCUACGGUAUCAGAGAGUCAGCUGACAAAGCCUGGAGUAAUUCGCCCCGUACCGGUAAAAUCCAAAAUAUUACUGAAAAAAGAGGAGGAAGUCUAUGAACCCAAUCCUUUCAGUAAAUACCUGGAGGAUAACAGUGACUUCUUUUCUGAGCAGCUGAGUCAUCCAAUGAUGGCUAUUCCGGAACACGAAACCCUUGAUUCCAAAGAGCAAUGA